rnacentral:rRNA from 1 species
UACGUAGGGUGCAAGCGUUGUCCGGAAUUAUUGGGCGUAAAGAGCUCGUAGGCGGUUUGUCGCGUCUGCUGUGAAAACUCAGGGCUUAACCCUGAGCCUGCAGUGGGUACGGGCAGACUAGAGUGUGGUAGGGGAGAUCGGAAUUCCUGGUGUAGCGGUGGAAUGCGCAGAUAUCAGGAGGAACACCGGUGGCGAAGGCGGAUCUCUGGGCCAUAACUGACGCUGAGGAGCGAAAGCCAGGGGAGCGAACGGG